AUUGAACGCUGGCGGCAGGCCUAACACAUGCAAGUCGAGCGGUAGAGAGAAGCUUGCUUCUCUUGAGAGCGGCGGACGGGUGAGUAAUGCCUAGGAAUCUGCCUGGUAGUGGGGGAUAACGUUCGGAAACGGACGCUAAUACCGCAUACGUCCUACGGGAGAAAGCAGGGGACCUUCGGGCCUUGCGCUAUCAGAUGAGCCUAGGUCGGAUUAGCUAGUUGGUGAGGUAAUGGCUCACCAAGGCGACGAUCCGUAACUGGUCUGAGAGGAUGAUCAGUCACACUGGAACUGAGACACGGUCCAGACUCCUACGGGAGGCAGCAGUGGGGAAUAUUGGACAAUGGGCGAAAGCCUGAUCCAGCCAUGCCGCGUGUGUGAAGAAGGUCUUCGGAUUGUAAAGCACUUUAAGUUGGGAGGAAGGGUUGUAGAUUAAUACUCUGCAAUUUUGACGUUACCGACAGAAUAAGCACCGGCUAACUCUGUGCCAGCAGCCGCGGUAAUACAGAGGGUGCAAGCGUUAAUCGGAAUUACUGGGCGUAAAGCGCGCGUAGGUGGUUUGUUAAGUUGGAUGUGAAAUCCCCGGGCUCAACCUGGGAACUGCAUUCAAAACUGACUGACUAGAGUAUGGUAGAGGGUGGUGGAAUUUCCUGU
rnacentral:rRNA from 2 species